UCUCCCUGAGAGAAGACACAGCACGUACUGAUCUUAACGGACUGUCAAUGCCCAAUUGGCAAUCCUAUGAUUAGGAACGUUUAGGAUGUGUCUACGAAAGACUGGUCUCAUGAAUCUAAUUUCUUUAGAUUGCAUUCUCCCAAUCACAUAUUCCUUGGACUUAUCGUUUAAGCAUAUAACAUUUAUAUGAGACGGCUCAAACAAUAAUCUUUGCCCUUUAUAUUUAAACUACAUUAGUUUAACUUUGUGAAAUGUCCGUAAAGUAUCAUCAUAUGAUUGGUUUUAGGGCACAUUUCCAACAACAGGAUCCUUCUCUCCCUCCCCCGUGCCUCUCUCUCCUCUCUCACGGCUUUCUCUCUCUCUUCCUCUGGAAUGGUACGGACAAGGGCCAAUGCCCUCGAAUCUUCACGGAUCGACGUCAAAAAGGUAAGUUUGUGAAUCCUUGCAAGCUUGUGAGUUCAUUGGUAUAAUUUUUAGAACUUGGAACCCUCGAUAUCACGUGAACUCCGAAACCCGUUUUGAGAUCAUUGUUCAUGCACACGUGAAUUGUUGAAUUUCAGGGAAUUUUGAGCUUAUAGUGAGCUUAGUGAGGUCCUAAGGAAGCUCGGAGUGCUUAGUUUGAAGGUUUUGGACGUCGGGAUCACAGAGUUCAAAGUUGGCCGGUUUUCUUGGAAUUUUUCCGGUGAGAUUUAGUUGUUUUUAGAGCCUUAAAUUAGUCCAAUGUGAUUCUACAUGUUAAGGGCUUCAAGUUGAUAUAAAAUACGAAGAAAACGGUUGAGAAACGACGGAGAACAAGGAGAUUGAAAAAUCUCCAAUUUUCCGGCCACCGGAAAACUCAGUCCGGCGAGCUCGAGGAAAAGACGCGCGUGGGGGUGCGUGCCACUUAAAAAAAAAAUUCUAAAAAUUUCUUGACGUCCGUGACGUCGAGUAGGUCGAUGCGGUAUAUUCAUAUACCCAAAUUGAGCACCUAUGAGAAGUUAUUUCGAAUUGUUGGUUAUGUGCAUGAAAUUAACGUUUUUAUAGUUGUUUCGCAUAUAGGUGACACCUAUCCCGAGGACGAGCGCAUCCAGGGACAUCACGAGGGUUACGACCCAUCAACUUACCAGUGAGUGGGUGAAGGAUGAUUUUGUGAAAACAUGUUCAUUUGAAUAACAUCUAUAGCAUGCAUUUAACAAUUAAAAGGCG
rnacentral:lncRNA from 1 species